CCUACGGGAGGCAGCAGUGAGGAAUAUUGGUCAAUGGACGCAAGUCUGAACCAGCCAAGCCGCGUGCAGGAAGACGGCUCUAUGAGUUGUAAACUGCUUUUGUACGAGGGUAAACGCAGAUACGCGUCUCUGUCUGAAAGUAUCGUACGAACAAGCAUCGGCUAACUCCGUGCCAGCAGCCGCGGUAAUACGGAGGAUUCAAGCGUUAUCCGGAUUUAUUGGGUUUAAAGGGUGCGUAGGCGGUCGGUUAAGUUAGAGGUGAAAGCCCGGGGCUCAACUUCGGCAUUGCCUGUGAUACUGGUCGGCUAGAGAGGAGGUGAGGUAGGCGGAAUGUAUGGUGUAGCGGUGAAAUGCUUAGAGAUCAUACAGAACACCGAUUGCGAAGGCAGCUUACCGAGCUAAUACUGACGUUGAGGCACGAAAGCGUGGGGAGCGAACAGGAUUAGAUACCCCAGUAGUC
rnacentral:rRNA from 1 species